rnacentral:rRNA from 1 species
UACGAAGGGGGGGCUAGCGUUGCUCGGAAUCACUGGGCGUAAAGGGCGCGUAGGCGGGCUCUUAAGUCAGGGGGUGAAAGCCCCAAGGCUCAACCUUGGAAUUGCCUUUGAUACUGAGGGCCUUGAGACCGGAAGAGGUCGGCGGAACUGCGAGUGUAGAGGUGAAAUUCGUAGAUAUUCGCAAGAACACCAGUGGCGAAGGCGGCCGACUGGUCCGGUUCUGACGCUGAGGCGCGAAAAGCGUGGGGAGCAAACAGG